UACGAAGGGGGCGAGCGUUGUUCGGAAUUACUGGGCGUAAAGGGCGCGCAGGCGGCUCAGCCAGUCAGAUGUGAAAGCCCCGGGCUUAACCUGGGAACUGCAUUUGAUACUACUGAGCUUGAGUACGGGAGGGGAUAGUGGAAUUUCCGGUGUAGCGGUGAAAUGCGUAGAUAUCGGAAGGAACACCUGUGGCGAAAGCGGCUCACUGGACCAUUACUGACGCUGAGGCACGAAAGCUAGGGGAGCAAACAGG
rnacentral:rRNA from 1 species